rnacentral:rRNA from 1 species
CAAUAGCGUAUAUUUAAGUUGUUGCAGUUAAAAAGCUCGUAGUUGGAUUUCGGAUGGGAUUUGCCGGUCCGUCGUUACGAUGUGCACUGGCCAGUCCUAUCUUGUUGUCGGGGACUAGCUCCUUGGAUUCACUUCCUGGGACUAGGAGCUGACGAGGUUACUUUGAGUAAAUUAGAGUGUUCAAAGCAAGCCUACGCUCUGAAUACAUUAGCAUGGAAUAACACGAUAGGACUCUGGCUUAUCUUGUUGGUCUGUGAGACCAGAGUAAUGAUUAAGAGGGACAGUCGGGGACAUUCGUAUUUCAUUGUCAGAGGUGAAAUUCUUGGAUUUAUGAAAGACGAACUUCUGCGAAAGCAUUUGUCAAGGAUGUUNUCAUUNA